rnacentral:rRNA from 1 species
AUUGAACGCUGGCGGCAGGCCUAACACAUGCAAGUCGAGCGGAUGAAGGGAGCUUGCUCCUGGAUUCAGCGGCGGACGGGUGAGUAAUGCCUAGGAAUCUGCCUGGUAGUGGGGGAUAACGUCCGGAAACGGGCGCUAAUACCGCAUACGUCCUGAGGGAGAAAGUGGGGGAUCUUCGGACCUCACGCUAUCAGAUGAGCCUAGGUCGGAUUAGCCAGUUGGUGGGGUAAAGGCCUACCAAGGCGACGAUCCGUAACUGGUCUGAGAGGAUGAUCAGUCACACUGGAACUGAGACACGGUCCAGACUCCUACGGGAGGCAGCAGUGGGGAAUAUUGGACAAAGGGCGAAAGCCUGAUCCAGCCAUGCCGCGUGUGUGAAGAAGGUCUUCGGAUUGUAAAGCACUUUAAGUUGGGAGGAAGGGCAGUAAGUUAAUACCUUGCUGUUUUGACGUUACCAACAGAAUAAGCACCGGCUAACUUCGUG